UACGUAGGGUGCAAGCGUUGUCCGGAUUUAUUGGGCGUAAAGAGCGUGUAGGCGGCCAUGUAGGUCCGGUGUGAAAACUCGAGGCUUAACCUCGAGAUGUCAUCGGAAACCAUUUGGCUAGAGUCCGGAAGAGGAGAGUGGAAUUCCUGGUGUAGCGGUGAAAUGCGCAGAUAUCAGGAAGAACACCAAUGGCGAAAGCAGCUCUCUGGGACGGUACUGACGCUGAGACGCGAAAGCGUGGGGAGCGAACAGG
rnacentral:rRNA from 1 species